CCAGCCCCACAGUCGACUGCCCUUUACUUCCGCUUCCGAUUGGCGAGACCCACAGGACUUCCGGCUACCGAGACGUGGCGGGGAGGCCCAGAGCGUCGCGCGGCCGCCAUCUUGUCCCGAGGAGGCCCUGCCUUCCUCCGGGCUCCCACGAAGGGAAGGGACGGACGCGGAGACGGGAGACUCAGCCGAAAAGUACCAAAAGGUGAGACAACCCUUCCCCUGAGAAUGUCGGAUGAGCAGAAGCACUUGCUUCACCGGACAGCCAAGAAAAAUAUCCUUGGGUGAGGAUUAUACAACAAUCAACCAGGCCAACCAUCUGAAGACUAGUUUAACAGAUCUUAUAACUAAGGAUGCACAGAAGUCACACCAAGACUGGUAGGAAAGGCAGAAAUGUGAAAGGUGAUGGCCCUGAACUCAUGUGCUUCAGUUGAGAAUCCAUCUCAACUAUCUCAACUGGAGAGGUACCCCCUAAAAAGAAAAGGUCUCAACACCAUGCUUGGCUUUCCAGCCCAGAGCACCAGUGCCAGGAAGAGGCACCCACGUAACAUCUGGCUGUGAACAUCAGUGAGGAUUCAGUCUGCCAGGGUGAGAUGGAUGGAAGACUGCUAAAAACCCUGGCACCCUCUGAAAGAGACAAUACACAAAAUUUUCUUCGUGCCACUCACUCUCAAUUCCAGUAGAAAAUGGCACCUCAGAGCACAGUGGAGUCAUACAGGAAGAGAUUGGGUUAUUUGGCUUCAGGGAAAGAGUUGAAGGGACAGCUGUCAAGGUUCCUGUGCUGAGUCCCUCUCCCACACCACCCACAGGCACCAUCUUUCCUGAGUCAAGCACACCCGUUAUAUGGCAUUAACCUGGGGAGAUGCACUAGCCAUAUUUCCUGACUUCUGUGGUCCCACCCUGUCAAGCUCUGUGGAGGAAUUAGCUGGCUGUAGCAUUGCAGACCUUGGCAGGGUCUCGAGGAGAUCUGGCAGACUCAGGAGGUUUCAAAGACAAGGACAGACUGAGUGAAGUGGCUUCAGGGCGAGUGCCAAUUUCCCUGUGCUCCUGACUGAUGUUACCCCUACAGCAGUGGCUCCCAACCUUUUAUUGGCCACGCCCCACCUAAGCAUCUCUAAAAUCCUAAUGCCCCCCUGUGACACACAAUUCUUAUUAUUCAAAAAGUGAACUCCUAUUCACUUGGAGGA